GAUUUUUUUGAGUUGAUGGAUUUAGUUUUGCUAAAAAGGGUGAAAAGAGGUGAAAAUACAAAGGAAGAGAGAGAUAGGUGAAAAUACAAAAUACGAAGAGUGAGAGAAAAAAAAUAAAAAUACAAGAUACAAAGAUGAAGUGAGCGAUAGAGAGAGAGAAAAGAAAAAGAAACAGCGAGAGAGACGAGAGAGAUUAAGGAGAGUGGUGAG
rnacentral:lncRNA from 1 species